AUCAACUAGCAAACGGUGAAGGGGAUACAAUUUACCUGAGUGAAACCACGUGCUGUAAGCUAUUUUCUUUUUCAACUCGAGCUCAUUGGCUGCAAUGGCUGCAAUAGAGUUCCGGGUGUUGACGUUGUUGGGGCGGGGAAAACGUGGGCACCACCAUUUUGGCAGUAUUCGGCAGACUGGCGCUCUUGUGGUGGAGCAGACAUGGUCGAUAACUGUUGUGCACCAGGUUGCACAAAUAAACGAGGCAAAAAUAAAUGUACGUCGUUCUACCGCAUUCCUAAAGAUGCGGAGAGGCGAGCUAAGUGGAUCAGCGCCAUUAAAAGAGCCAGGAGCAAGCAAAAAAAGACUGAAAAAUGGGACCCCCCGGCUGUUGGAUUCCGCUUGUGCAGCGAUCACUUCAUAUCAGGUAAGUUACAGAAUACAAAGCUUGGCAGCUUAGCGUCAUUAUUUAAUAGGCUAUAAUUGUGGUCAGGCGCGUAUCAGACGCGGGGGAUGAGUACGAUGCAUCCCCCUCACUUCUAUUGGAAGGCCAUUCCAUCCCCUCCACUUUUGUUCGUCAAAUCCUCACAAAAAUCAGCUUUUCUAAUAAAAAACAGUAAACGUUCGCCUGUUGUAUGCAAUUUAAAAUGGUUGCUAUGAUUGCAUCCCUCUGUAUCAAAUGAUCACUCUGUAAAUCCCAGCGCUACAAUUGACGUUACGUAGACUAAACAGCUCGCGCAGCCUGCAGAAAGCGCUGGCAGCGGUGCUCCCGAGACCCGACUGCCUGAGAGCUCAGCGCGGUGACCGCGGUCAUUCAAGCAGUUUCUCACAGAUUGCUGUGCCUAACUGUUCGUGCUGCAUACUGACUUGACGCCUUCAAUGAAAAGCCAAUGAUGCCGAAAACUAAAAGAAAAAGACAGGGGACUAUAGACGGCUUUUUCAAGAGAAAACAAGUAAGUUGACUUCUCUCCCUCUGCAGACACUGACGUGCUUGCAAGUUGCAAGCUAUAGGCUAUCUGUUUCGAGUGCUACCGCGGUUGGGAUGCACAGGUUUGACUAGGGCUACAGGUAGCCUUUACGGAGAGUAGAGAUCCUCGUGCGAUUCGUCAUUUUCAAACCUUGAGAAAACGCACUUCAAUCUACAAGGUGUAUCACUGAAAAUAUACACAAAGUAUGUGUCACAGCAAUCAACUUAGGCCUACUGGUUUAAUGAAUGUGAAUGAAUGCUGUGAUACACGAAAAUCCGGAGAAUUGUGCGAUUCGCUUUCUCAGCACACUUGAACGUGAAAUGUCCUCAACAGUGUGUGUCAAGGGUUCAUCUUGUUUUCUUAGAACAUUAGAAGCAUGCAAGUGCGUUCCAUUCGAUCAGACACGUUUUAUUUUCAGUUAGGCUACUGUAUAAUCAGUAAGACCACACCAUAAACACAUAAGCCCAACAUUAUACAUAGAUCAUAGAUAGGUCUCAGCAUGAAAUGGAGAACAUUUGAAGUUGAACUUGACCACUGGUUUGACAGCCUGCACUCUGUGUGUCACUACAUAAUAACAUCACUACAUACAAGUAACAAACGCUCUAGCCAAAUGUCAUUAGAGCUACAGUUAUUGAACAUUCAUGCAACAGCCUCAAGUGGCUUUACAAAUGUGUUUUGUCUCUGCUCAUUAUGACAAACUAAUUGUUCUGCAAUCAUUUUCCUGUCCAACAGAUCCAGCUUGUGCUUUUGAACAUAACACACGGUUACACUGUUGAGACAUGUUUGUGUCAUUGUACUUUGCAUCCAUGUUUUCAGCCUUCAGAGGCUGCUGAAGCUCCUUUCAGCUUUAUCACACAGUGUGUGUGUGUGUGUGUGUGUGUGUGUGUGUGUGUGUGUGUGUGUGUGUGUGUGUGUGUGUGUGUGUGUGUGUGUGUGUGUGUGUGUGUGUGUGUGUGUGUGUGUGUGUGUGUGUGUGUGUGUGUGUGUGUGUGUAUCAAACAAACACACAAUGAGUCAUACACACACACACACACACACACACACACAGUGUAUCUGCUCGCAUUUCUUCCAUUUUGUAGGCCUAGAUGUAUGUAAAAGUUCAUAUAAUUGAUCAUCGCUAUUUGGAAUGAUUAUUUCUUCGCCUAUUCCAGAACACCCCCACUUUUGGAAAGCUUGAUACGCCCCUGAUUGUGGUUUCGGAUCAGUUUAAUACUACAGUGUGCACAGUGAUCUGGGAGCAGCUUUAUGAGGCUGUGCUUCUGCAUGGACAUGUACAGCAUCAUAAAUCCCCUGCAUGUUAAUGGGUUGAUGUGCAAUGAGAUAGAUGAACAGCAAUGCUGAACAGUGCAUGAUACAGCCAGCACAGUUAAAUGACACAAAGAAAUAAAUAACACUAUUUAUUUAGCUUCUAUUUCUACUCAGGGAAGAUUCAAAGUGAGCAAUCAAACCCUGGUUGGAUGUGUCAUUUAGCCCUUUGAGUGUGGUGUAUGUGAUAAUGCGUAGCAUAGCUCAGGGCAGACAUUGUAGGCAUCAGCUCUAGCCAAAGGCCAGGUUCAAUGAAGUGGACUGAAAUAUGUUCCCACCUGAAUGGUGCUUUGGCUGUGCAGUUCACAUGCACAGUUUGUCCACAUGCACCUAUUCAUCCCCCAGCGAUUGUAGCCCAGCUUCUUUUAGGUUUUAGAUUUUAGAUAUGUUAAGUUUAAGUCUACCUUCCUUUUUUUACGUGAACUUGCCUCACUGUUUAAAUAAUGUCUGCCUCUGACUCAUCAAUUGUUUACUUAUAUUCCUCAGGGCCCGAAAGGACCAAGAGGUGAAAGGGGACCCCAGGGCCCUGACGGGAGGGACGGCAGACCUGGCAACCCCGGCCCUGCUGGGCCCCCAGGACCCCCUGGCCUCGGCGGAAACUUUGCUGCUCAGUAUGAUCACAACAAAGGCGCUGAUAUUGGUCCCGGCCCCAUGGGAAUGAUGGGAAUGAAAGGCCAACCUGGACUUCCCGGCCCCCCUGGAGAAAGAGUGAUAAUCCCUUGAGUCCGGACUUUGUUCCAUCUCUUUUCAACUACGUUCCAUCUCCAGAGAAGAGGAAAAGAAAAAUGAGACUGGAGGUUUUCAACAGACGACAGAGAGCAAAGCUACAGAAGAUGGAGCAGACAAAGCUAUCUGCGAAAGCCAUCCCUCCCAGAGCAUCAACAGAUUGUCCCAAAGACUGCAACAAGGAUCCUACUGCAGAGCAAAGUCCCACCACAGAGCCUUUGAAGGAAUCUACCCAUGAAGAACCUGGAAACGAUGUCCAGCCUGUUCUCCAUGAGGAGGAUCCAGCAACCCCACCAUGCACCACUGAAACCUGUGGUAAACGCGUCCAAUCUCUUGAGCAAGAAUGCCAAGCUCUGAGGACUGAAAAUAUGUUGUUGAAGGAAAAAAAUGAAUAGGACUACACUGAAUGAGAUGAGCUUGCAUAACGAUGAUAAAAGGGUUCAUACUCUCACUGGUUUAUCAGCAUUCUCCAUUCUCAUGACAAUUUUUCAUAUUGUGGCUCCUUUUCUCCAACUUAAAUCUAGUUUAACAUGUUUUCAGCAGUACAUGUUAACUUUAAUUAAGCUUAGAAUGAACUUGUCCUUUGAGUUUUUGGCUUUUUAUUUUGACAUUGACUCAAACACUGUUUCAAAGCUCUUCAAACACUGCAUUAGUGUGAUGCAUUGUAGACUGGUGCCAAGUCUGGUGUUGUGGCCUGACAGAGAAUACUUAAGAAAAUCUCUUCCAUACGCAUUUCGAAACCGUAGCUUUGAAAAGACAGUUUGCAUUAUAGAUUGUUUUGAAAUAUUUCUAGAGAAACCCAGUAGAUUGCUAGCCAGUGCUCAGUGUUACUCAUCAUACAAAUCACACCACACAAUGAAAUAUUUAAUUGCAAUUUGCCCUCGAGGUUCCAUUUGUUUCAUUUCCGCUGGAUGGGGAGGUCGCACAAGUGAUAAGUUUAUCACAGAACAAAGUGACUUUUUAUCUCAUUUGCUCCCAGGGGACGUAGUUUUAGCGGACAGAGGUUGUUUGGUUAAAGAGUCCAUUGAGAGAUGCCAAGCUGAAUUAAAAAUUCCAGCAUUUACUCGUGGAUAGAAGCAGUUAGAUCCUGCUGACUUGGAGAACACCAGACGUCUAGCCUCUCUUAGGAUACAUAUUGAAAGAGUGAUAGGAGUUCUCCGUCAAAAGUACACAGUCUUGCAAAGCACUGUCCCCAUAUGUUUCACGGACAUAGACAGGGAAAAUUAUGUGACCUACCUUGACAAGAUGGUGAGCGUGUGUUGUGCACUUACAAAUGUGUCUGAAUCUGUGGUGUCCUUCCAGUGAUGGGGAUGUACAGUACAUUGAACUGAUGUGACUGGCUACAGAUGUGCUCAACCAGCAAAUAAACCUUUGUGACUCACACUUCUUGCUUGCUUGUCGUGACAUUAUUUUUAAUCACUCGCUAUUCUGAUGCGAUCACAUCGUUUCUCUUUGCAGAUCAAGCUGCACAUCCACCCAUUCUAACUUGAGUUCCACCCAAACAGAUAUUUGUUCUGGUGUGUUUUAUAUGAAUGACCCACCCAUGUUUCAUAUCCCUGAUUGCUACAGAUAUUUAAUACAAAUUAUGGGGAAGAGAACAAUAUUGGUUUAACAACUGUUUAUUCAUAAAUAACAGUACAGUAUCAGCUACUACAAACAACUCAUUUCACAGUCUCCUCACUAAGGUUUUCUUCUUUGGGCAUUGAUCACUUUUCGGCGGAUGGGACAUACCCAC